AUUCCAGCUCCAAUAGCGUACACUAAAGUUGUUGCAGUUAAAAAGCUCGUAGUCUAAUGUAUGGGAGUUGCGGGGUGGGUGCUUGGUUGGUUUUGCCGACUCAGCAAUACUCGCUCCGCUUCCCGCUUGUUUUGCUCUCUUUUCUAGAAGGCAAAUGUUUCACUGUAAGUAAAACAACUCGCUCAACAGCAAGGUUAUCUUGAUAUGAAUUAGUAUGGGAUGAUGAGAUAGGCUCGGUCCGUAUUUUGUUGGUUUUAGUGGUCUGAGAAUGAUGAAGAGGGACAAUUGGGGGUAUUCGUAUUUACAUGUCAGAGGUGGAAUUCUUGGAUUUUGGAAAGGCGAACUAAUGCGAAAGCAUCUACCAAAGAUGUUUUCAUCG
rnacentral:rRNA from 1 species